UACAAAUCUGGCUGUCGAGAUGCCUAAAAAGCAUUUCAUAGCAAGGGCCGGGCAAGACCGGUGCCAGCCGCCGCGGUAACACCGGCGGCUCGAGUGGUAACCGUUAUUAUUGGGUCUAAAGGGUCUGUAGCCGGCCGGAUAAGUCUCUUGAGAAAUCUGGCAGCUUAACUGUCAGGCUUUCAGGAGAUACUGUCUGGCUCGAGGCCGGGAGAGGUGAGAGGUACUUCAGGGGUAGGGGUGAAAUCUUGUAAUCCUUGAAGGACCACCAGUGGCGAAGGCGUCUCACCAGAACGGACCUGACGGCAAGGGACGAAAGCUAGGGGCACGAACCGGAUUAGAUACCCGGGUAGUCCUAGCCGUAAACGAUACUCGCUAGGUGUCGGCCACGGUGCGACCGUUGUCGGUGCCGUAGGGAAGCCGUGAAGCGAGC
rnacentral:rRNA from 1 species